rnacentral:tRNA from 1 species
GGGCGAGUGCUGGAAUGGUAUACAGGUUAGUCUCAAAAACUAAUGAUCAUUACGGUCAUGAGGGUUCGAGUCCCUCCUCGCCCA